rnacentral:rRNA from 1 species
UACGAACUGCGCGAACGUUAUUCGGAAUCACUGGGCUUACAGGGUGCGUAGGCGGCCAGCCAGGUCCGAUGUGAAAUCCCACAGCUCAACUGUGGAAUGGCAUUGGAAACCGGUUGGCUCGAGUGAGCUAGAGGUACACGGAACUUCCGGUGGAGCGGUGAAAUGUGUUGAGAUCGGAAGGAACACCAGAGGCGAAGGCGGUGUACUGGGGCUUGUCUGACGCUGAGGCACGAAAGCCAGGGGAGCGAACGGA